rnacentral:rRNA from 1 species
CACGUAGGAGGCGAGCGUUAUUCGGAUUUACUGGGCGUAAAGCGCGUGUAGGCGGCAGUGUAAGUCGGGAGUUAAAGGCAACAGCUUAACUGUUGUAAGGCUUUUGAAACUACAUUGCUAGAGUACCAGAGAGGUAAGCGGAAUUUCCUGUGUAGCGGUGAAAUGCGUAGAUAUUCGGAGGAACACCAGUGGCGAAGGCGACUUUCUGGCCCUAUACUGACGCUGAGACGCGAGAGCGUGGGGAGCAAACAGG